CCUACGGGAGGCAGCAGUGAGGAAUAUUGGUCAAUGGUCGGGAGACUGAACCAGCCAAGCCGCGUGAGGGAUGAAGGUACAGAGUAUCGUAAACCUCUUUUGUCAGGGAACAAAGGCGGGGACGUGUCCCCGGAUGAGUGUACCUGAAGAAAAAGCAUCGGCUAACUCCGUGCCAGCAGCCGCGGUAAUCCGGAGGAUGCGGGCGUUAUCCGGAUUUAUUGGGUUUAAAGGGUGUGCAGGCGGUUUGUUAAGUCAGCGGUCAAAGCCCGGGGCUCAACCCCGGCCCGGCCGUUGAAACUGGCAGUCGCGAGUUGGAGAGAGGUAUGCGGAAUGCGCGGUGUAGCGGUGAAAUGCAUAGAUAUCGCGCAGAACUCCGAUUGCGAAGGCAGCAUGCCGGCUCCACACUGACGCUGAGGCACGAAAGCGUGGGUAUCGAACAGGAUUAGAUACCCCAGUAGUC
rnacentral:rRNA from 1 species